rnacentral:rRNA from 1 species
UACGUAGGGUGCGAGCGUUAAUCGGAAUUACUGGGCGUAAAGCGUGCGCAGGCGGUUCGUUAUGUCCGAUGUGAAAUCCCCGGGCUUAACCUGGGAAUGGCAUUUGGGACUGCAAGGCUGGAGUGCGGCAGAGGAGACUGGAAUUCCUGGUGUAGCAGUGAAAUGCGUAGAUAUCAGGAGGAAUACCGAUGGCGAAGGCAGGUCUCUGGGCUGACACUGACGCUCAUGCACGAAAGCGUGGGGAGCAAACAGG